rnacentral:rRNA from 1 species
GAAUGCUGACAUAAGUAACGAUAAAGCGGGUGAAAAGCCCGCUCGCCGGAAGACCAAGGGUUCCUGUCCAACGUUAAUCGGGGCAGGGUGAGUCGACCCCUAAGGCGAGGCCGAAAGGCGUAGUCGAUGGGAAACAGGUUAAUAUUCCUGUACUUGGUGUUACUGCGAAGGGGGGACGGAGAAGGCUAUGUUGGCCGGGCGACGGUUGUCCCGGUUUAAGCGUGUAGGCUGGUUUUCCAGGCAAAUCCGGAAAAUCAAGGCUGAGGCGUGAUGACGAGGCACUACGGUGCUGAAGCGACAAAUGCCCUGCUUCCAGGAAAAGCCUCUAAGCA